AUUGAACGCUGGCGGCAGGCUUAACACAUGCAAGUCGAGCGAGCGGCGGACGGGUGAGUAAUGUCUGGGAAACUGCCUGAUGGAGGGGGAUAACUACUGGAAACGGUAGCUAAUACCGCAUACCAUCAGAUGUGCCCAGAUGGGAUUAGCUAGUAGGUGGGGUAAUGGCUCACCUAGGCGACGAUCCCUAGCUGGUCUGAGAGGAUGACAGCCCUACCUGGAACUGAGACACGGUCCAGAUCCCUACGGGAGCCAGCAGGGGGAAAUAUUGCACAAGGGGCGCAAGCCGGAUGCAGCCAUGCCGCGUGUGGGAAGAAGGCCUUCGGGUUGUAAAUCACUUUCAGCGAGGAGGCGUUACUCGCAGAAGAAGCACCGGCUAACUCCGUGCCAGCAGCCGCGGUAUUC
rnacentral:rRNA from 1 species